ACAAAAUGUAUGAUGUAAAUAAUCAGUUAUGUUAACUAAAUUAUAUAUGAAUGAAAAUUUGGUCAAGUGAUUGCAAAUGCCUCUAAAAAUCUAAAAAACGAUUAAGUUCAUGGGCGGGUGCCAGCUUGAUAAACAAACAGAUAGGAGCAUUAGAAGACACAAUGUUUUCAAUUGGAUUAUAUGUUAUGCUUUUGCUCUGUGUUUUCCAGCCACUCCUUCCAUCGCUCGUGUUUUGAUAAAUACAGUUUCGUUGUAAUAAAAUAUGUAAGAUUUAACUCUUGCCAUUCUUGGGACUUUUGGAAAUCAAAUUGUCUACCUUCUUCAAAUAUCAACUCUAUUGCCUGUUUUUACGGGGUGAAUUGAAUUUUAAUUUUCCGGUGUUAGAUAUUUUUCCUGUCCCAUUUUUUUCUCAUUCAAUUUUAAUGCUAACUUAGAAAUUUAAUAGCAGAAGUGUUAAUAGC
rnacentral:lncRNA from 1 species